GCAAGUACCAAGGAGCAUCCCAAGCCGCCUGCUUAUUCCAACCUAUCCCCCUUCCACACCCUCCCCUCACGCCUAUUUAGAAUUGGAUAAGUAGACAAUGAAAUGGGGAACACAGUCGCCAAAGAAUCCCAUGUUCCUAUGCCACUCCCUUUCCAAAACUGAGUUAAUUCUCAGUGAAGUGAACCCAGAAGGCUAAGGCUAUGCCUUAGGAAGGACCCAAGAAGAUAACCCACACUGAGGCUGGGGUAGACUUCAGACGUAACAGCGAUCCACACUACCUCCUCAAGGAUCAGCAAUUACAUGACAAGCCCACAAAAUAUCUGGAUUAAAUAACUGACAAGAAAGAAUGAUCUGGCUCCAUAGGACUUCUGGCUCUUUCCAAAGUCGAAAACGACCAUUAAAGGUAAAUAUUUUGAGUGGAUACAGAACAAGGAGGCAGCCACAACAGUGCAGCCAAAGACACUCACGGAAGAGGACUUCUGUAACUGCUUCAGCAAGUGGAAGGAAUGACGGGGAAAAACACCAGAUCAUGUGGAUGAAAAGAAGGUUGUAUCAUUCUCAUCGUCCUGAGUUCUUAUCCAAAUAUAGGUCAGUAUGACUUCUCUAACCAAGGCCCACCUGCUUCACUGCUACCUCAUGCAUUGUAGUCUACAACCAAUGGCUUGUGGCACCACACUUUUUAGGGGGUACUCCUUAUCUUCCUUCCCCAAUUCUUUCUAAGCCCUAGCCUUGUGACUCCUUCAAUAAUAAAAGAAAAUGUAUAAACAAAAAAGAAUCAAAAAUCAUUUCUAUUAACAUAUAGGAUAUAAUUUUUAAGGAAAUUAGGACUUCCACAUGAUUUUGCUGAAACUAAGGUUAAAACACUCUCUCUUCUAGAAGCAUACACCAGAUGUUAAACUGAUAAUGGAGAGAAGCUUCCCAAGACCUGCUGGAGAGUAAGAGAAAGUCAAUCUAGAAUUAAAC
rnacentral:lncRNA from 1 species